GACGAACCGAGCGAACGUUGUUCGGAAUCACUGGGCUUAAAGGGCGCGUAGGCGGUUUACCAAGUCAGGGGUGAAAUUUUGCGGCUUAACCGUAACAGUGCCUUUGAUACUGGUAGGCUCGAGGGAGGUAGGGGUCCGCGGAACUUCUGGUGGAGCGGUGAAAUGCGUUGAUAUCAGAAGGAACGCCGGUGGCGAAAGCGGCGGACUGGAUCUCUUCUGACGCUGAGGCGCGAAAGCUAGGGGAGCAAACGGG
rnacentral:rRNA from 1 species